UUUGCAAAUUAGAGCCCUCAAGGCAACAUAAAUACCCGACACAAAACAGGGCAAGGGAACCAAUCAGAGGAGACGAGCGCAAGGAGAGUCCCCGGGCACGGCAACACCGCGCUCCGGUCAACCACCGCCCCCUCUCGGCGGUGGCAGUGGGACCUUCCGGUUGCCCCAGUGUCCGGGGGGCGGCGGGUGGCAUCGGCUGUCCUCGUCCGCCUUCCGCACCCGCGCGGCUGUCGGGGAGGAGGCCAAGGCCCGGAGCAGCUUCGACGGCGUGAAGAAGGCGUGCAAGCAGAUGGUCCGCAAGUACCAUCCCGACGUGUCGCCGCCUGAUUGUGCGGAGUACACCCGGCGGUUCAUCGAGGUGCAGGAGGCCUAUGAGACACUUUCGGACCCCCGCAGGGGUUGCGUCUCGCUUUCUCCACCGGGCGGCGGGUUGAUGAGAUACCGUUUAUUGUUGAACUCGAGGAUUGUGGUCUUCCAGACACUUAAGUGUUUACUGAGAAUUGAGAACUGGAGGAGAGACCUGGUUGGAAAAUCCAUCACCAAGAUCAGCUUGCUGAGUUGAAAAGGAGGAGCGUGAGUUAGGAUUCAGGAGGCAACCUAUCUUGGGGGGCUCGAGCGCGGAGACAAAGGGCUGAAUCAUAAGCUGAAUGGGGACCAUGUAAUUGCAGUUGCGGAUAUCGUCUUACAUAUCAACUCGUUCUACGGUCUGACUUAAUUGGCAAGGCUAAUCUUAUCCACGGUAUAACCAAUCUAAUAUCAAUCCUGACAUCAUUCUGGUCUAGUUGAUACAGUGUUGGUGAAGAGGGAGGAAAGUUGAGUUGAUGAAAAUAAAGAAACCAUAUCUGCUCAUCCAAAGAAUGUACAGUAAUGAGUGAUGUAAUAUAAUGCUGACAACAAAUAUAAUCCAAUGAUAUCAAUUGGAUCAAAUCUGGAAGUCUUCUAUCGAAACCAAUUUCAUGCACGAUCAAUAUGAAACAGGGCAGCUUUACUUCAAGAACAUGUCAGGUGAUAUUAGUAGUUGGAUUAAAUUUGCAGUAAUAUCCAACAAACAAUUAUAUUCCUUGGAGACAUGACAUAACAAUCUAAGCACUUCAUUCUUAUACUACAAUGAGGAAGCUAUUACAAUCCAAGCAAAAAGGUGAGAUUAAAGGCUUAGCUUCACACCUUGAAUUGCAGCAGGUCUGGCCUCCCUUCUAUGGGCUGUCACCCCUGCAGCCACUGAUGAUUUGACAGCCCCUGUUGUAGGGAUUGGCCUUUGGGAAGACAUGGCAGUUGUAGUAAGGGACACCAGGCUUGUUGCAAGGCACCACAUCCCCCUUGAGAGCCUCAUAGCUGAUGUACUUCUUUUCAGUGACAGCCCACAACAGCCUCCUGCUUUCCUCCGAGCUCAUCUCCAUCUCCACCCCAUGCUCCAGCAGGCACCCCUGACCUCUUCUUCUUCCACUGCAGGGCAGCUUCACCAUCAUCCCACUUGCAGUGGCUUGCUCUGGGAGGAGGAGGAGGAGAAGAAGAAGCAAUGGCCAGAGGAUCAGGCUCUUCUUCUCCACAGUGAAACCUGAGCUGAGCUUUGCCAUAUCUUCUUCCUGGUUGUGAGAUCUCAGAGUUGUGUUCUGUGUUCUCUCUCUUUCUGUGAGUGGAAGGCUUUAAUGAGAUGUCAGCUGUUCCACCUGCUUUGGCUUUGUGGCCAGUGAAUAAAGAGCCAGCAACCAAUUUCUUCACUUCACACUGUUGUAGUGGGAGGGUGAGGGGAAUGUGUCAUGGUGGUGGGCAAAUGCAUUAGAGGAAUAGAAUCUUCAUCAUGGAUAGCAAUUCCAUAUCCAUAACUUUUUUUCAUUCCCUUUUGAAAUGUGCAUAAAAAGGUUUGACUAUAACUAUGUAAUAUAGUUCAAUUGUUUCUUUGAUUGUCCAAAAGAAGAGUUGGUAAGACAUCCUGUGCACACAAAUCAGGUAUUUACAUAUACCGUGCCACCAUGAGUAAAUCUACAUUGGUGUUUCUAACUCAAUGUAUUGUCACUGUUUUGUGGUUGUGAAAGGGUUAGUUCAUGAUUUUGAUGUCA